rnacentral:rRNA from 1 species
GACGAACGCUGGCGGCGUGCUUAACACAUGCAAGUCGAACGGAAAGGCGCUGCUUUUGUGGGGUGCUCGAUUGGCGAACGGGUGAGUAACACGUGAGUAACCUGCCCUUGACUUUGGGAUAACUUUAGGAAACUGGGGCUAAUACCGGAUAUGAGCUCCUGCUGCAUGGGGGGGGUUGGUAAGUUUCGGCGGUUGGGGAUGGACUCGCUGCUUAUCAGCUUGUUUGUGUGGUAGGUGCUUACCAAGCCUUUGACGGGUAGCCGGCCUGAGAGGGUGAACGGCCACAUUGGGACUGAGAUACGGCGCAGACUCCUACGGGAGGCAGCAGUGGGGAAUAUUGCACAAUGGGCGGAAGUCUGAUGCAGCAACGCCGCGUGCGGGAUGACGGGCUUCGGGUUGUAAACCGCUUUCGCCUGUGACGAAGCGUGAGUGACGGUACUGGGUAAAGAAGCACCGGCUAACUACGUG